GAGAGUUAAACAGUACGUGAAAUUGUUGAAAGGGAAACGAUUGAAGUCAGUCAUACCAACGGGAAAUCAACCUUUUGAGCUUGGUCUCGUGGGUUUUGAAGAGUUUCAAAGCCUUCGGACUCGCGGGAUUGGGAUCUCUCGGUGUACUUUCUCGUACGGUUAGUCAACAUCGGUUUUGAAUGUCAUAAAAUGACUGGAGGAAUGUAGCUUCGAUCUCGUAUUGAAGUGUUAUAGCCUUUGGUAGAUGUGAUGUUUGAGACCGAGGAUUGCAACGGAUACCCUUCAGGGCUAUUCGUCUGAUCUCUGAUACGUUGCCUUGAUGUUGAAAGCUUGCUUAUGAUGUCAGGGUAUUACGGUCAAAAGGUUAGAACGAAUUACAUUCGUUAAGGAUGUUGACGUAAUGACUUUAAACGA
rnacentral:rRNA from 1 species